UACUUAUACUAUCUGAUCAAUUUUUCAUGCCUAUAUCUUGUAAGCUGAGCAACUACUUUGAAGAUAACAAUAUGCGUUAUAAUAACCCUUGUUAAUCUAUCAUCUUGUUUUAAAAUUCUGUU